ensembl:snRNA LOC120100211 U1 spliceosomal RNA
ACACUUAACUGGCAGGGGAGUUACUGUGACUGAAAGGUGGAUUUCUGUGGGCGAGGCUUCUUCGGAUUGCUGACCCCUCGAUUUCCCCAAUGUGAAAUUGACCGCAUAAUUUGUGGUAGCGGAGACUUGUGAUCUCAAACUCCUC